UCCCCGUUGCCGGGGCAGUCUAGCUAGAGAAAUUCAACUAACUAUAAGGGUUGCGCUCGUUACUGGACUUAACCAUACAUCUCACGACACGAGCUGACGACGGCCAUGCAACACCUGUCAUUGGGUUCCCGAAGGCACUCUUUCCUUUCGGAUAGAUUCCCAAGAUGUCAAACCUUGGUAAGGUUCUUCGCUUAUCGUCGAAUUAAACAACACACUCCACCGCUUGUGCGGGUCCCCGUCAAUUCCUUUAUGUUUUAGUCUUGCGACCGUACUCCACAGGCGGGAUGCUUAACGCGUUAGCUUCGCUACUACCAGGAUCGAUACUGAUAACAGCUAGCAUCCAUCGUUUACGGCGUGGACUAC
rnacentral:misc_RNA from 1 species